GAAGAAUUCAGAGAUGGAUUUGUGCCUUCGGGAACCGUGAGACAGGUGCUGCAUGGCUGUCGUCAGCUCGUGUUGUGAAAUGUUGGGUUAAGUCCCGCAACGAGCGCAACCCUUAUCCUUUGUUGCCAGCGGUCCGGCCGGGAACUCAAAGGAGACUGCCAGUGAUAAACUGGAGGAAGGUGGGGAUGACGUCAAGUCAUCAUGGCCCUUACGACCAGGGCUACACACGUGCUACAAUGGCGCAUACAAAGAGAAGCGACCUCGCGAGAGCAAGCGGACCUCAUAAAGUGCGUCGUAGUCCGGAUUGGAGUCUGCAACUCGACUCCAUGAAGUCGGAAUCGCUAGUAAUCGUGGAUCAGAAUGCCACGGUGAAUACGUUCCCGGGCCUUGUACACACCGCCCGUCACACCAUGGGAGUGGGUUGCAAAAGAAGUAGGUAGCUUAACCUUCGGGAGGGCGCUUACCACUUUGUGAUUCAUGACUGGGGUGAAGUCGUAACAAGGUAACCGUAGGGGAACCUGCGGUUGGAUCACCUCCUUACCUUAAAGAA
rnacentral:rRNA from 2 species